CCUAAUACAUGCAAGUCGAACGAGCUGCGCCUAAUGAUAGUUGAUGCUUGCAUUAACUUGACUUAAGUUAGCAGCGAGUGGCGAACUGGUGAGUAACACGUGGAUAACCUGCCCAGAAGAAGGGGAUAACACCUGGAAACAGAUGCUAAUACCGUAUAACAACGAAAACCACAUGGUUUUCGUUUGAAAGAUGGCCUUUGUGCUAUCGCUUUUGGAUGGAUCCGCGGCGCAUUAGCUAGUUGGUGAGAUAAAGGCUCACCAAGGCAAUGAUGCGUAGCCGACCUGAGAGGGUAAUCGGCCACAUUGGGACUGAGACACGGCCCAGACUCCUACGGGAGGCAGCAGUAGGGAAUCUUCCACAAUGGACGAAAGUCUGAUGGAGCAAUGCCGCGUGAGUGAAGAAGGGUUUCGGCUCGUAAAACUCUGUUGUUAGAGAAGAACGGGCGUGAGAGUAACUGCUCACGUCGCGACGGUAUCUAACCAGAAAGUCACGGCUAACUACGUGCCAGCAGCCGCGGUAAUACGUAGGUGGCAAGCGUUGUCCGGAUUUAUUGGGCGUAAAGCGAGCGCAGGCGGUCUUCUAAGUCUGAUGUGAAAGCCUUCGGCUUAACCGGAGAAGUGCAUCGGAAACUGGGAAACUUGAGUGCAGAAGAGGACAGUGGAACUCCAUGUGUAGCGGUGAAAUGCGUAGAUAUAUGGAGGAACACCAGUGGCGAAGGCGGCUGUCUAGUCUGUAACUGACGCUGAG
rnacentral:rRNA from 1 species